rnacentral:rRNA from 1 species
AGUGCAGAAUAAACCCUGCGAAAGCAGAGCUAAUACUGCAUGUGGUUGUCGGAUGGCAUCAUCUGACAACUAAAGUCGCAAGACGCUCUCAGAUGGGCCCGCGGCCUAUUAGCUAGUUGGUGAGGUAACGGCCCACCAAGGCUAUGAUGGGUAGCUGGUCUGAGAGGACGGACAGCCACACUGGGACUGAGACACGGCCCAG